AAAUGCAAGGGCGACCUGGCUGUGACAUCUGUCACCCCAGUGAUGGCCAGGGUUGAUCCGGUUAUCUGGCUGGCUAGGUGGGUGUCCCUUUCGCCCUUCAAUGCUCUGACGACCACCCUGACAGAGGAGGACCGCUCCUCGGCCAGUGUGUGAGGGCAGCUGGCUCCCCCGCUAGAACCUCCAAACAAGCUCUUAAAGUCCCUGAAGCCUGCUGGCGACUUUUGACAUUGUCAAUUAAAUUAAUAUUGAGCAUUAAGGUUACAAAUUUUGCUUUUAUUU
rnacentral:snRNA from 1 species